GCCUAACACAUGCAAGUCGAGCGAUGAACUGAAGAUGAGACCUUCGGAGGAUCUUCAGUGAUUAGCGGCGGAUGGGUGAGUAACGCGUGGGCAAUCUGCCCUUCACAGGGGGAUAACACAGGGAAACUUGUGCUAAUACCGCAUAACAUCCCGGGGAGGCAUCUUUUUGGGAUCAAAGGAGCAAUCCGGUGAAGGAGGAGCCCGCGUCUGAUUAGCUGGUUGGUGAGGUAACGGCCCACCAAGGCGACGAUCAGUAGCCGAACUGAGAGGUUGAUCGGCCACAUUGGGACUGAGACACGGCCCAGACUCCUACGGGAGGCAGCAGUGGGGAAUAUUGCACAAUGGAGGAAACUCUGAUGCAGCAACGCCGCGUGAAGGAUGACGGCCUUCGGGUUGUAAACUUCUUUGGCAGGGGACGAAGACAGUGACGGUACCCUGAGAACAAGCCACGGCUAACUACGUGCCAGCAGCGGC
rnacentral:rRNA from 1 species